rnacentral:rRNA from 1 species
AUUGAACGCUGGCGGCAGGCCUAACACAUGCAAGUCGAGCGAGCGGCGGACGGGUGAGUAAUGUAUGGGACUCUGCCCGAUAGAGGGGGAUAACCACUGGAAAGGGUGGCUAAUCCCGCAUACUAAGGGAUGAACCCAUGGGGGAGUAGCUCGUAGGUGGGGUAAAGGCUCACCUAGGCGACGAGCUCUAGCUGGUCUGAGAGGAUGAGCAGCCACACUGGGACGGAGACACGGCCCAGAGGCCUACGGGAGGCAGCAGUGGGGAAUAUUGCACAAUGGGCGCAAGCCUGAUGCAGCCAUGCCGCGUGUAUGAAGAAGGCCUUAGGGUUGUAAAGUACUUUCAGCGGGGAGGCGUUACCCGCAGAAGAAGCACCGGCUAACUCCGUGCCAGCAGCCGCGGUAAUAC